rnacentral:rRNA from 1 species
GACGAACGCUGGCGGCGUGCUUAACACAUGCAAGUCGAACGGAAAGGCCCUGCUUUUGUGGGGUGCUCGAGUGGCGAACGGGUGAGUAACCCGUGAGUAACCUGCCCUUGACUUUGGGGAAACUUCAUGAAACUGGGUCUAAUACCGGAUAGUACCAGCAUCUUCAUGGUGGUGUUUGGAAUGUUUGGGCGGUUGGGGAUGGUCUCUCGGCUUAUCAGUUUGUUGGUGGGGUAGUGGCGUACCAAAGCCUUGACGGGAAGCCGGCCUGCGAGGGUGAGCGGCCACAUUGGGACUGAGAUCAGGCCCAGACUCCUACGGGAGGCAGCAGUGGGGAAUAUUGCAAAAUGGGCGGAAGCCUGAUGCAGCAACGCCGCGUGCGGGAUGACGGCCUUCGGGUUGUAAACCGCUUUCGCCUGUGACGAAGCGUGAGUGACGGUAAUGGGUAAAGAAGCACCGGCUAACUACGUG